CAGCGUGUGGGGAGGCCCAAAGGAGAAAAGGGGCCCUGUUGUUUUGCCACCAUCUCACUUGUCUGGGUUUCUCAUCCAAUCAGGGGCUCUUGAAGGGGAACAUGUGUCUUGUUCAUCUCUGUCUGCUGUGCCCAGCACCCAACUGGGGCCUCAUGGAGGGGGACAGUAUCUUUCUGUCUGCUGAGUGCAGCAUCUGGCUGGGGGCUCGUGGAGGGGAUCUCUGUGUCUGCUGUGCCCAGCACAGUCACUCUGUGAGCUCUGUGACCUCGGGCUCAUCACAGACAUCCUUGAGCUACUGAUCACUGGAUUAGGAUCAGGAACAACUAACCUACCUCUUUCCUCUGGCCUCUAACAUGGAGAUCACCUCAUAGCCCAAGAUAACUGCUGGAGCACCAACCAUCAUAUCUUCAUCCCAGGUGGAAUGCAGGAGAAAGAAGAAAUGGGUAAAAAGAGCUUUCAUCAGUCGUGUCCUCAUUGAGCUUUUCACAAGGCACCCUCAUCAAUGUCUCCCAUGUCUCAUUGAUUAGAACACAGUCACAUGCCACAUCUGGCUGCAGGGGAGACUGGGAAAUAGAGUCUUCGGCCAGACACACUUUUGCCCAGAAUAAAAGCAAGGUUUCACUGGAAGGGAAGGAGGGAGAAACAGCAUGGCGGCCGCAGUCUCUGGUACAGCGUCUCUUACUGUUCUCUUCUCCACUUCCCAAUCUCCCACACCCCUCUGUGUUGUAUACAACGAAAUUCAGAGUCCUUGAUAUGACCUUCAGGCCCUUGGCUCUGACCUCCACUGCCCGAGCCAACAUCCCCCAGGCUUCCCUCUCCUUUAUGCUUGUAUUCAGCCCAGACAUGAUUCCCCCUGGGUGAAAGCCGCAUAGAGUCACUCCGCGUCUCCUCUGCCAAGACGUUCGGAAGGAAUAGUUGCUGUGGUGCUUUCCAGAGCCGUGCGUGAUCCUGGGAGUUACUAGCAACACUUAGAAACCAGUUUUGUUCAUUGCAGUGCAGUUGCCACCAAGGGCCUCCUCCUGCAGAGCCAGGCAGCGCCGAGUGGUUGUGGCAGGCCUCGCUAAGCCACGAUCCCUGGCAGGGAGGAGCUGCUGGCUGCACGGUCCCGGGUCAGAGAACCGAAGCAAGAGUCUUGUAAGACCAAAGGCUUCUUCGACUGCCCACACAUCUGCCAUUCACCUGGAGUUCAAAAGUGGGGGUGAUGGUCAAGGAGAUGGAUAUUGUGCCCUUAAUUUGAACUGAAAGAUGAAGACACCCUUUCCUUUUGGGGAAAAGGUGUCUGAUCGGCUUAUUGGAGCAACAAUGAGGGCUGGCUGGCUUUGCCAACUGCUUAUAUGGUGGAUAUUUCCCAUAAAUCAGAUGAAUUGAGUCUAUAGCUCCAAAGUUUUGUCAAAAAUAUGGCCGGGCAUGGUGCCUCAUGCCUGUAAUCUCAACACUUUGGGAGGCUGAGGUGGACGGAUCAACUGAAGUCAAGAGUUCAAGACCAGCCUGGCAUGAUGGCACAUGCCUAUAAUCCCAGCUACUCAGGAGGCUGAGGCAGGAGAAUCGCCUGAACCCAGGAGGAAGAGGUUACAGCGAGCCAAGAUUGCGCCACUGCACUCCAGCCUGGGUGACAAAGCAAGACUCUCUCUCUCUCUCUCUCUCUGUGUGUGUGUGUGUGUGUGUGUGUGUGUGUGUGUGUGUAUGAAUCAUAUGACAAGAGCUUUUAACAAUAGUUUGGGGGAAAGGUGUAUUGAAAUUAACAGCAUUAAAUUUUUCCAAUUC